rnacentral:rRNA from 1 species
AUCGUACGACGAGUUUGAUCAUGGCUCAGGAUGAACGCUAGCGGUAUGCUUAACACAUGCAAGUCGUACGGAGUUUUUAACUCAAGUGCGGACGGUGAGUAACACGUGAGAAUUUACCUUUAGGAGGGGAUAACAAUUGGAAACGAUUGCUAAUACCCCAUAUGCUUUUUUAAGUGAAACGGAUUUAUUCGCCUAAAGAAAAGCUCGCGGCCGAUUAGCUAGUUGGUAAGGUAAUGGCUUACCAAGGCGACGAUCAGUAUCUGGUUUGAGAGGAUGAUCAGACACACUGGAACUGAGACACGGUCCAGACUCCUACGGGAGGCAGCAGUGGGGAAUUUUCCGCAAUGGGCGAAAGCCUGACGGAGCAAUACCGCGUGAGGGAAGAAAGCCUACUGGGUUGUAAACCUCUUUUUUCAGGGAGGAAAAAAAUGACGUGUACCUGAAGAAUAAGCAUCGGCUAACUCCGUG